GACGAACGCUGGCGGCGUGCUUAACACAUGCAAGUCGAGCGGUAAGGCCCUUUCGGGGGUACACGAGCGGCGAACGGGUGAGUAACACGUGGGUGACCUGCCCUCAGCUCUGGGAUAAGCCUGGGAAACCGGGUCUAAUACUGGAUAUGACUCCAUGACGCAUGUUGUGGGGUGGAAAGCCUUGUGCGGCUGAGGAUGGGCCCGCGGCCUAUCAGCUUGUUGGUGGGGUGAGGCCUACCAAGGCGACGACGGGUAGCCGGCCUGAGAGGGCGACCGGCCACACUGGGACUGAGACACGGCCCAGACUC
rnacentral:rRNA from 1 species